rnacentral:rRNA from 1 species
GAAGGUCUUCGGAUUGUAAAGCACUUUAAGUUGGGAGGAAGGGCAGUCNAUUAAUACUUGGNNNUNUUGACGUUACCGNCAGAAUAAGCACCGGCUAACUNNGUGCCAGCAGCCGCGGUAAUACGGAGGGUGCAAGCGUUAAUCGGAAUUACUGGGCGUAAAGCGCGCGUAGGCGGUUCNUUAAGUCNGAUGUGAAAUCCCCGGGCUCAACCUGGGAACUGCAUUCGAAACUGCCGAGCUAGAGUAUGGUAGAGGGUGGUGGAAUUUCCUGUGUAGCGGUGAAAUGCGUAGAUAUGNGAAGGAACACCAGUGGCGAAGGCGACCCCCUGGACCGAUACUGACACU